rnacentral:rRNA from 1 species
GACAGAGGGUGCAAACGUUGUUCGGAAUUACUGGGCGUAAAGCGCGUGUAGGCGGCUAUGUAAGUCGGGCGUGAAAUCCCACGGCUCAACCGUGGAAGUGCACCCGAAACUGCGUAGCUAGAGUCCUGGAGAGGAAGGUGGAAUGCUUGGUGUAGAGGUGAAAUUCGUAGAUAUCAAGCGGAACACCGGUGGCGAAGGCGGCCUUCUGGACAGUGACGUGACGCUGAGACGCGAAAGCGUGGGGAGCAAACAGG